rnacentral:rRNA from 1 species
GACGAACGCUGGCGGCGUGCUUAACACAUGCAAGUCGAACGGAAAGGCCUCUUUCGGGGGGUACUCGAGUGUCGAACGUUUGUGUAACACGUUAGUAACCUUCCCUUUACUUUUGGAUAACUUCAGGAAACUGGGUCUAAUACCGGAUAGGAGCUCCUGCUGCAUGUUGUGGGUUGGAAAGUUUCGGCGGUUGGGGAUGGACUCGCGGCUUAUCAUCUUGUUGGUGGGGUAGUGGCUUACCAAGGCUUUGACGGGUAGCCGGCCUGGGAGGGUGACCGGAAAAAGUGGGAAUGAGAUAAGGCCCAGAAUGCUACGGGAGGCAGCAGUGGGGAAUAUGGCAAAAUGGGUGGAAGCAUGAUGAAGAAAAGACGUGGGAGGGAAGACGGCAUUCGGGUUGAAAACCGAUUUAGAUCAGGAAGAAGCUUUGUGUGAAGGUAGUGGGUAAAGAAGAACCGGCUAACUACGUG